GACGAACGCUGGCGGCGUGCUUAACACAUGCAAGUCGAACGGAAAGGCCCUGCUUUUGUUUGGUUCUCGAUUGGCGAACGGGUGAGUAACACGUGAGUAACCUGCCCUUGACUUUGGGAUAACUUCAGGAAACUCCGGCUCAUACCGGAUAUGAUCUCCUGCUGCAUGGUGUGGGUUGGAAAGUUUCGGCGGUUUUGGAUGGACUCGCGGCUUAUCAGCUUGUUGGUGGGGUAGUGGCUUACCAAGGCUUUGACGGGUAGCCUGCCUGAGAGGGUGACCGGACACAUUGGGACUGAGAUACGGACCAGAAGCGUACGGGAGGCAGCAGGGGGGAAUAUGGCACAGUGGGCGGAAGCCUGAGGCAGCAACGCCGCGUGCGGGAUGACGGCCUUCGGGUGGUAAACCGAUGUCGCAUGUGACGAAGAGUGAGUGACGGUAAUGGGUAAAGAAGCACCGGCUAACUACGUG
rnacentral:rRNA from 1 species